CCAGGGCUGCUGUGGGCAGGGAGGGGACAUGGAGCAUGCUCUCCAGGCCUGGCUGGCACCCCUCACUGGCUGAAUCCGCUGGGAAGCCAGAACCAGGCAGGGCUGCAGUUGAUGCUGGCCAGAGAGGUCAGGGUCUGGGACCCAGAGGGGGUGUGGAGCCUCUGGAGGGGCAAACAGCUCCCCCCCGCCGACCGUGGGCUGGCCCCGCAUGUCCCUGAGUCCCCGGCAGCCCUUUCUGCCCAGGCUUCUGGGUCCCUCAGAGCGGCAGCUGGUGGUGUGAGAGGCUGCAGACCCCUCCCAAGUCUGCCGGCCCUCUGGCCCCAGGGCCCCUCCCCAGGCAGGCGAUGUGAGAGGAGAACCCAGGGAGGAUGGAGCCGCCCACCCCUCUGUCUCCCUCGUCCCACCUGAUUUCGUUCCCAGCUGCAGGCCGGGCGCCCACAAUGCUGUCUGCAGAGCCGGCGCCCAGAACACAGCUGCGAGGCCAGGCGCUCCUGUGGGGUGAACACUGCUGCAAACAUCCCCACUUUACCGAUCAGCAGACCGGGGCUCAGGCAGGGCAGGAUGACUUCAGACGUCUGAAGGGUAAAGCCUGCAACGGUCCUGCCAAAACGUCCUUUGUGUGAAGCCCGGAAUAGAUGUCGCCGG